rnacentral:rRNA from 1 species
UACGAAGGGGGCUAGCGUUGCUCGGAAUCACUGGGCGUAAAGCGCACGUAGGCGGCUUACUAAGUCAGGGGUGAAAUCCUGGAGCUCAACUCCAGAACUGCCUUUGAUACUGGUGAGCUUGAGUCCGGAAGAGGUGAGUGGAACUGCGAGUGUAGAGGUGAAAUUCGUAGAUAUUCGCAAGAACACCAGUGGCGAAGGCGGCUCACUAGUCCGGUACUGACGCUGAGGUGCGAAAGCGUGGGGAGCAAACAGG